rnacentral:rRNA from 1 species
UACGAAGGGGGCUAGCGUUGUUCGGAAUUACUGGGCGUAAAGCGCGUGUAGGCGGGUCCUUAAGUCAGGGGUGAAAUGCCAAGGCUCAACCUUGGAACUGCCUUUGAUACUGGAGACCUUGAGUCCGGGAGAGGUGAGUGGAAUUGCGAGUGUAGAGGUGAAAUUCGUAGAUAUCGUAAGGAAGACCAGUGGCGAAGGCGGGUCUCUGGACAGUUCCUGACGCUGAGGCACGAAGGCCAGGGGAGCAAACGGG